rnacentral:tRNA from 1 species
UUGACAGUGGCGGAACUGGUAUACGCGCUAUGUUUAGGUCUUAGUAGUAUCUCUCAUACUAUGUAAGUUCAAAUCUUACCUGUCAUA